ensembl:lncRNA
GCAGCAAAGCACUGUGGAGUGCUUAGGGCGUGUUGGAGCACAAAGGACAACAUGGCCAUCCAAUGCAGCUGAGGAAGUCUCCAGGUGUAAUGACCUUUCGUGCCACUGGACCCAGGCUUCCAAUGCCGAGAGAGUGGGACUGUCUCUGUGCAAUGACUUUUCCACUUAAAUCUCAUUCACGCACAAGUGUCUUUGUGCACACUCAUCUAUACACCAUAGAUGAAAACGUACAAAGACAAUCGCCAUCCUCGGUUACCAAGAGACUACUAAUGGCUGCAUAUUUGUACUUAUACCAAUUUAAUAAAAAAGUAUGUACUGUAAUGUUAUUUGUUGAUUAGCUAAGUAAUUAGGGCUUCUGAAUAACUAGGAAUAAGUAAUAGGGCUGGAUAGAUGGUUUUGAUUGGUACAGAGUUCCUUUAACUCAGAUAGAGAAAUUCUCAAGGGAUCAUGGGAAAAGAAUUCCCAGCUUCCCUUAGGAGGGACAGUUGGGAAUUAACUAUGCACUCUUUGGGUCUGUUGCUCAGAGAGUGGAUGGUUGGAGUUUCCUCUGGAAAUCUUGGAAGAGUUAGUGACGAGGAACAUCAAGAAACCAUGAACAGCUUUAGCAAUGAUGAAUUUGACUUCAAUUUCCUUGAUGAAGGCUUUACUACUAAGGAUAUUUUGGACCAGAAAAUUAAUGAAGUUUCUUCUUCUGAUGCCUUCUAUGUUGUUCUAAAGAUGCCUUCUAUGUUGCUGACCUCGGUGACAUCCUAAAAAAACAUCUGAGAUGGUACAAAGCUCUUCCUCGAGGGACUCCUUUUUAUGCUGUUAAAUGUAAUGACAGCAGAGCUAUAUUGAAGACACUUGCUGCAGUAGGAGCAGGAUUUGAUUGUGCUAGCAAGACUGAAAUACAAUUAUUACAGUCUUGAGGUGCCACCAGAGAGAGUAUUUUGAAUGGGACCUGCCUCAAUAGCAAGUCUAGGACCAGCUAUAUCAACUUCUAGCAAUUCUUCAAUCUUAUGCUGUGUUGUGCACAGCAUGUGCCAUUUCUCAUAUUUCCUAUUUCUAUUUAAAUGUGUCAAUUGAUCAUGAAGUCCACACUGUAAUUUGGGUCCCCAAUUGUAGACCUCAAAGCUUACUUUUCCUGGCAUCUGAACCUUUCUAGGAGCCUAGACAGAACAAUCUGCCCAUGACAAAUCCCUGUGUAAAGUUCCUAUCUGAUUUGGGCAUCAUUUCUUGUUCCCAGGACGGUUAGGUUUAAAUGGUGGACAAGCUGUAUCAUCUCCUUUUCCUAUCACACCCAUACCAAUUCCUAUAUAAAUGUUGUCACUAGCAUGUUUUACUAUCCAAGCUUGAAUCCUAUGAGGUACACAGAAUGAAUUCCCUUUUUGAGAGUGUCUAGAAGACAUACAAGAUGGAGGGUAUACAGUAGAGCCUGAAUAAUUGUAACUUGCUACUUCAGAUUCCAAAGGAAUGUUUCUGGCUAGAAUUGGGUGCAGUAGUCAUUUAGUAUCAUUAACAUAUACAAGUGGGGGCUUGUCCAUCCAAGUUAACAUUCUUAAUAUAGGAGGUUUAGGUAUAAUGGACCAAAAGACUUCAGCAUUACAAAUGUCCAUUGGUAUGAUAAUAGUAAAUGUCAUUAAAAGUAGUGUAAUGUCAGUCUUUGGUGUAAACUUUGGUGUCUUCCAGUGUGGCUGGAGUGUGGCUGGUAUGUAGCUAACUGAUGUCAUCAGUGUUGUUUGUCUGCUUCUCUUCCUGGUCUUGAGCUGCCAAUGGUGUUGUGCUCUGCUCUGGUUGCUCGUCUGCUCCCUCUGCAUCUGGAUCUGGUCCUCUCCAUGGUUUGAGAUGCUUAGUGGGAGUCCAGAUGUUUCCAUCAUCUGUAGAGAUACAAGCAAACCCUCAACCCAUUGUUAUCAACCUGUUUGGUCCCUUAUAUUCUUUUUCUCCUGGAAAUCUCCAAAAAAACCAGGGCUGCUGAGCUGUGCCAACUUUUUCAUGACACUCAAAAUGCAUUUGCAUAGGAGUAGCAGUCAGCCCUUUUGGGAUGGAGAAAUGAUUGAUGGUUAGGAAUACCAUUUUAAACAAUUUGUUAGGAAUGAUAGGCUUAGGUUUCAGAAUAUCGCCUUCAUAAAUUGUUUGGUACUCCCCUUUUGUUUUUGUAUUUGAGUUUUAAGAGUUCUGUUUGCCCUCUCCACAAUAGCUUGUCCUGUGGAGUUGCCUGGAAUUCCAGUUUUAUGGGCUAUAUUCCAUAAUUUGCAAAAUUCUGCAAAUCUUUUACUGGUAUAUGCAAUUCCAUUAUCAGUCUUUAUUUGGUUAGGAAUGCCCAAAUGUGCAACUGAUUCCAGCAAAUGUGCAAUAACAUGACAUACCUUUACUCCAGUUUGGGCUGUGGCCCACAUGACAUGAGAGUAGAUAUCAACAAUUACAUGUAUAUAUUUCCAUCUUCCAAAAGGAGCAUAUUGAGUUACAUCGAUUUGCCAAAGCUGGUUGGCUUUCAAACAUCAUGGAUUAACUCCUGCUGGAAGAGGAUUUGAAGAGAAAGAUGCACAAGAUCUGCAUUGCUGGAUUAUUUCCUUUGCUUGUCUUUUGGUUAUAUCAAAUUGGUAUUUGAGAGAUUUGGAAUUUUGGUGCAAUAAAGAGUGUGAAUUAACUGCUUCCUGAAAUGCA